GUGCACCAGGCGCGAAACUUUACAAUGUGCGAAAGCACGAUAAGGGAACUCUGAGUGCCUCCUAAGGAGGCUGUUCAGGUGUCUAAAAGCACCUGAAGGAAGGGCUGGGUAAGACCGGUGCCAGCCGCCGCGGUAACACCGGCAGCCCAAGUGGUAGCCACGUUUAUUGGGUCUAAAGCGUCCGUAGCCGGCUGGGUAAGUUCCUUGGGAAAUUUGGCUGCUUAACAGUCAAGCUUUCAGGGAAUACUGCCCGGCUUGGGACCGGGAGAGGUCAGAGGUACUCCAGGGGUAGGGGUGAAAUCCUAUAAUCCCGGGAGGACCACCAGUGGCGAAGGCUGUCGGCUAGAACGCGCCCGACGGUGAGGGAUGAAAGCUGGGGGAGCGAACCGGAUUAGAUACCCCCGUAGU
rnacentral:rRNA from 1 species